GCUUAGAUUCUUAUUCUUCUUUCUUUGUGUACCUCUCCGGUGUUUUACUUCUUUUUCCUCUUUCCUUUUUGCUAUGUUUUUGGUGAUUUUCGCAGUUGAUUUUUGGUUUCCUAGCUGCAAAAAGGCGGGGAAAUGGAUAUUUCUUUGCGUCUUUUCGAUUUUUUUUAAUCAUAUAUGUCUUUCAGGGCAAAAUUUUCGGGUUUGGUCCACUUUGAUUUUCAUUAAGUUUCUCUUUGUGCUGCAUGUGUUCGCUAUGGCUUGAGAUAAACAGUGGGACUUAAUUUGCAGCAGUUGGAACUUGCUAAUUUAGUUUUUAUUCUCCUGUUUCAAAAUUAAUUUUUGCCGUUUUUCUAAGGUUUUCUAAGUAGUGGUUUAUCCUAAUGUAUUUCCGUUUUCAAUUCACUGUUAUUUAGUUGUUCUGUUUUGUAAUUGUUAUUUCUAAACAAUGCUUCUUUAUUUUGUAGCUUGGUUGAGGGAAAAAUUGAUGAUGUCUGGAUGUUUCAGAUAAUGUAAGCGCUUUUAUUUUAUUCUGAACAUUUUCCACAAGAAUGCAUGGAAUGGAGCAAUUCCAGUUCUGGUGGCAAGCUGCAAGAUGACAAGAUCCAAGUCUGCUUAGUCAUAUUGAAGGGAAGUGUGCAGAAGUGCCUGAUGGUCCAAUAAUCUUAACUUCAACUUCAGGCUUCAAGUUGCCUGAAAUAUUAACGUUUGAAUGCAGGUACGUGGCUGUAAGCCUAUAUAUCACAUGUUUAUUAAUAAAUGCGCAGUUAAACUCGAUCUAUAUAUGCUUGAAAUUCAAGCCAAGAAUGUUUUACUGUUUCGAGAGAAGAUCAAACAAAAUAUACUAAUGUUGCUAACAUUGUUUAAGGUUUAGGGAGUCCUUGAUUCUUACAUGAAAAGUUUGGGCAGGCUCCUUUAACUAUUUCCCCUUUGUCAUUGGUGUAGACAAGCCUUGUGGCAGAUUGUGAACUACCUAUCUCAGCACGAAUCACUUGUUCCACAAGGUGACUUAUUUUGGUGUACAUUUUGUUUACUCUUUCCAUCAUUGCAUGUUAAGAAAAUUUACUUGCUGAUUAGGUUUGGAGAAACAAGUACCUGAAAGCACUCUUUGUAGCAUAGUUAAUAAACAAAAUGCAACUAAUUAAGCUGAGUUGAGUUCACUUUUAUUUCUAAGUUAUGUUAUGAAAAGAAAAAAAAAAACUUUUGCUGCUGGACUAUCACUGUCUAGAUAAACAUCAAAUCACUGUUUUAGGGAGGUCUAAGACAAAAAUCUUCUUCUUAGUAUAGGUUAUGGUUUAGUUAGUAUCUGCUGGCUUGAUUGUGGCGCUGCUAUGUUGAUGCUGACUAAGUUAAAAGGUCUUUUGUCCUUAUGCAUGUUGAAAGCCCGAAAUGCCUUCUUUUCUCCUCAGGACGUGAGUAUAAUGAAGGACGACAUUGAAUUAGAGAUGUAAAAUGGUAGCACGAACUUAAGAGAAGUGCAAAAAGGUUCCUUGAAUGAGAGUUACUGACUAUAUUUUUUUGGCCAAUUAUAAUAAAGCAAAAUAUUUUGUCCUUUGAUUAUUUACAUUUUUGGCGUGUAGAAACUAGAAACCAUACUGAUAAAAAGGAGAACUCUUUUCUUACAUAAUUAAUGCAUAAAUUUAUGGCUCUCUGGAUGUCUCUUUAACUAAAAUGACCUGGUUAGGCCAAUGUUCAUCUGCAGUACCUGUUUCUAUUGACUGACACUGCUAAAGUUCUACUAUUUUGUUUUGAGAGCAAGUCGACUCAUCCUCCAGAGGCUGCUCUGGAAACUCAGGUGUGAGGCUUUCAAUGACUCUAUUUAGUGAUUUUUACAGAAUUGUCAUGAUAAAUUUAUUGUACAUUUCCUUAGAAUGCAUACCAUUUAUGUUGAUGGGAGCAAAGUGACUAGAACAUCUUCAGAUGAGGCAGCCCACUGGUUUGAAUAUUAUUAUUAUUAUUAUUAUCCUUAUUUUUUUUUUAAAGCCAAGCAUUCACUUAGUUAGUCAUAGGUAAGCUUUGCUGGGAAUAAAUAAAAAAACGCUGGACUUACCGUUGGCAAUAUGGUUCCCUUGUUUUUAUAAUUUAACAUGAGUAUAUACAAUUUCUCACUAUUUGCAGUUUGAUGGUCCGUUUAUCUGCUUUAUGCUAUCCAGACCUUCUGGUGUAUCUCUAGUUAUGUCAAAUUCUGAUCAGGCAACACCAAGUCCCAUUGAAUCACAUGACAACCAUCCGAAUGGCACUUCUUGAGCAUCGAAAUAUGAAAUACGGGAUGAACACCCAAAGCUGGUCAUGAUGAGAAUAGUCUUAGCUUGUAAUUGCUAUGUUGGAUAGGAUAAAGGACGAGAGUGAAAGAAAGUCGGGAUCUGGAGCUAAUGUGAUGAUGAUGACUGAGACAUAGAUGAGCUUUCUCAUGAAGAUAUUGUUUACGCGAAGUAAUUCUAUGGAGUAUCAAACCAACAGUGACUUGGAUUACAAUAAAAUGCAUUUUACUAAUGGUUUUGAAGACAAAGUAGUCUGAUAUUGGGGAAAUCGAAACACGUUGUAGGUAUGUGAAUCAUCAGAGGUGAAAAUAUGGUGUUCACGCGAUUAUUUAGGCUGGAAAUGGGAAAACACACACGAUGAUUGGAAAAUAUUGAAAGAGGCACGCGAAGACAUGGUGCGAAUUGUGGGAUUCCAUCUAUGGUAUUUGAGUACUUGUUUUCAAGAAUUCAAAAGGUACGGAUAUUGCAUCUGGUUUACUAUGUCAAUAUAUACCAAAUGUCUCCUAUGCUUAAUGAUCACUCCUUUUUUUCCCGUCAAAUAUCUCUAUAUUUGAUGAAAAAAACAAUGAGUGAGCCAAGGCCCACGACUCCAUCAGAGGUUCGUAGCUUUCUGGGCUUUGGCAGGUUAUUACAAGCGGUUUGUAGAGGGAUUUGCUACUAUAUCAGCACUAUUGACAAAAUUAACUCUGAAAGGGGCCAAGUUCCAGUGGUCAGACGCUUGUGAACGUAGUUUCCAAGAAUUGAAGAAUCGAUUGACAACCGCACCUAUUCUUACUCUUGCAGAAGGUAUAGAGGGUUAUGUGUUUUAUUGUGAUGUUUCAGGCACAGGUUUGAGAUGUGUAUUAAUGCAGCGUCAUCCCAGUGGAGCGACACUCAUUUGAGCCUGCAACAGUUUUUCAGCUUCAAAGGCUUAUCAUCACGUCUCCGUUGAUGCCAAAGUGGCCCUGAUAUAGAUAUACACCGUUAGUAUAAAGAAUUUUUUUGCAUAGUCAAGUCAGCCAAAGGAUAUACUACAGGUGUGCCUCAAAUUGUGGAUGUAAUCUUGAAGAUAAGAAAGAUUACUUCUAUAACAGGAAUCUGCAUCGAAAGGAAUCGGAAAAUAAAGAAAUAUUUUAAGUAGAAAUCAGGUAAAGAGUGAACUCAAUUUGUUGAAUUUUGCUCUUUUUAUAUUGUUGGUUAUGAACGCUGAGGAAUUUAUUAAUUCUUUUACAGCUCCAUCUAUUAAUGUCAAAGAUCUCUAAAUUUCUGGUUU